UUAGGUUGGUGCAAAAGUAAUUGUGGUUUUUG
rnacentral:miRNA from 13 species